rnacentral:tRNA from 1 species
GAGGGUAUAGCUCAAUGGUAGAGUGUGUGCUUAGUGUGUAUGACGUCCUGGGUUCAAUCCCCAGUGCCUUCA